GGUUAAGUGACUAAGCGUACAUGGUGGAUGCCUUGGCAGUCAGAGGCGAUGAAGGACGUACUAACCUGCGAUAAGCCGUGAGCAGUCGGUAAGAGACAUUACGACUCACGGAUUUCCGAAUGGGGAAACCCACCCAAGAUAACUUGGGUAUCGUUACAUGAAUACAUAGUGUAGCGAGGCGAACCGGGAGAACUGAAACAUCUAAGUACCCCGAGGAAAAGAAAUCAACCGAGAUUCCCUCAGUAGCGGCGAGCGAACGGGGAUUAGCCCUUAAGCAUCUUGGAAGUUAGUGGAACGGUCCUGGAAAGGCCGGCGAUACAGGGUGAUAGCCCCGUACACGAAAACAACCUUGAUGUGAAAUCGAGUAGGGCGGGACACGUGACAUCCUGUCUGAAUAUGGGGGGACCAUCCUCCAAGGCUAAAUACUCCUGACUGACCGAUAGUGAACCAGUACCGUGAGGGAAAGGCGAAAAGAACCCCUGUGAGGGGAGUGAAAUAGAACCUGAAACCGUGUACGUACAAGCAGUGGGAGCCCUUCGGGGUGACUGCGUACCUUUUGUAUAAUGGGUCAGCGACUUACAUUUUGUAGCGAGGUUAACCGUAUAGGGGAGCCGUAGGGAAACCGAGUCUUAACUGGGCGUCUAGUUGCAAGGUGUAGACCCGAAACCGGGUGAUCUAGCCAUGGGCAGGUUGAAGGUUGAGUAACAUCAACUGGAGGACCGAACCCACUAACGUUGCAAAGUUAGGGGAUGACCUGUGGCUGGGGGUGAAAGGCCAAUCAAACUCGGAGAUAGCUGGUUCUCCCCGAAAGCUAUUUAGGUAGCGCCUCGGACGAAUACUACUGGGGGUAGAGCACUGUUUGGGCUAGGGGGUCAUCCCGACUUACCAACCCCAUGCAAACUCCGAAUACCAGUAAGUAAUAUCCGGGAGACACACGGCGGGUGCUAACGUCCGUCGUGAAGAGGGAAACAACCCAGACCGCCGGCUAAGGUCCCAAAGUUCUGGUUAAGUGGGAAACGAUGUGGGAAGGCUCAGACAGCUAGGAUGUUGGCUUAGAAGCAGCCAUCAUUUAAAGAAAGCGUAAUAGCUCACUAGUCGAGUCGGCCUGCGCGGAAGAUGUAACGGGGCUCAAACCAGGCACCGAAGCCGCGGAUUCACACUAAGUGUGAGUGGUAGGGGAGCGUUCUGUAAGUCUGCGAAGGUGUGUCGAGAGGCAUGCUGGAGAUAUCAGAAGUGCGAAUGCUGACGUAAGUAACGAUAAAGGGGGUGAAAAGCCUCCUCGCCGGAAGACCAAGGGUUCCUGUCCAACGUUAAUCGGGGCAGGGUGAGUCGACCCCUAAGGCGAGGCCGAAAGGCGUAGUCGAUGGGAAGCAGGUUAAUAUUCCUGCACGACUUGUAAUUGCGAUGGGGGGACGGAGAAGGCUAGGUGGGCCAGGCGACGGUUGUCCUGGUGAAAGUGCGUAGGUGGUGUUUCUAGGCAAAUCCGGAGACACAACACUGAGACACGAGACGAAC
rnacentral:rRNA from 1 species